rnacentral:rRNA from 1 species
UACGUAGGGGGCUAGCGUUGUCCGGAAUCAUUGGGCGUAAAGAGCGUGUAGGCGGCCCGGUAAGUCCGCUGUGAAAGUCGGGGGCUCAACCCUCGAAUGCCGGUGGAUACUGUCGGGCUAGAGUGCGGAAGAGGCGAGUGGAAUUCCUGGUGUAGCGGUGAAAUGCGCAGAUAUCAGGAGGAACACCAAUUGCGAAGGCAGCUCGCUGGGACGUAACUGACGCUGAGACGCGAAAGCGUGGGUAGCGAACAGG